CAAGCGGUGGAGCAUGUGGUUCAAUUCGACGCAACGCGAAGAACCUUACCUGGGCUCGAACGGCUUAAGAUCAACUUUGGAAACAUUGUCUUCUCGCAAGAGACUUGAGUCGAGGUGCUGCAUGGCUGUCGUCAGCUCGUGUCGUGAGAUGUUGGGUUAAGUCCCGCAACGAGCGCAACCCUUGUCCUGUGUUGCCAUCAUUUAGUUGGGCACUCGCAGGAGACCGCCAGCGAUAAGCUGGAGGAAGGUGGGGAUGAUGUCAAGUCAUCAUGGCCUUUAUGUCCAGGGCUACACACGUGCUACAAUGGCCGGUACAAAGCGCUGCAAACCCGCAAGGGGGAGCUAAUCGCAAAAAACCGGUCUCAGUUCGGAUCGCAGGCUGCAACUCGCCUGCGUGAAGCUGGAAUCGCUAGUAAUGCCGUAUCAGAACGAUGGCGUGAAUACGUUCCCGGGCCUUGUACACACC
rnacentral:rRNA from 1 species